rnacentral:rRNA from 1 species
GGCGGCGUGCCUAACACAUGCAAGUCGCACGAGAAAGGGGCUUCGGCUCUGAGUAAAGUGGCGCACGGCUGAGUAACACGUGAAUUAUCUACCUCCGAGUGGGGAAUAACUGAGAGAAAUCUUAGCUAAUACCGCAUAACACUUACGAGUCAAAGCAGCAAUGCGCUUGGAGAGGAGUUCGCGGCCGAUUAGUUAGUUGGCGGGGUAANNNNNNNCCAAGACGAUGAUCGGUAUCCGGCCUGAGAGGGCGCACGGACACACUGGAACUGAAACACGGUCCAGACUCCUACGGGAGGCAGCAGUGGGGAAUUUUGCGCAAUGGGGGAAACCCUGACGCAGCAACGCCGCGUGGAGGAUGAAAUCCCUUGGGAUGUAAACUCCUUUCGAUAGGGAAGAUUAUGACGGUACCUAUAGAAGAAGCCCCGGCUAACUUCGUGCCAGCAGCCGCGGUAAUACGAGGGGGGCAAGCGUUGUUCGGAAUUAUUGGGCGUAAAGGGCGCGUAGGCGGUUUGA